rnacentral:rRNA from 1 species
CCUACGGGUGGCUGCAGUGGGGAAUAUUGCGCAAUGGGCGAAAGCCUGACGCAGCGACGCCGCGUGGGUGACGAAGGCCUUCGGGUCGUAAAACCCUGUUGCAGGGGACGAAGGAAGUGACGGUACCCUGCCAGAAAGCCCCGGCUAACUACGUGCCAGCAGCCGCGGUAAAACGUAGGGGGCGAGCGUUGUCCGGAAUUACUGGGCGUAAAGGGCGUGUAGGCGGGGGUACAAGUCAGGUGUGAAAUACCGCGGCUCAACUGCGGGGGUGCAUCUGAAACUGUACUUCUUGAGUGUCGGAGAGGAAAGCGGAAUUCCCAGUGUAGCGGUGAAAUGCGUAGAGAUUGGGAGGAACACCAGUGGCGAAGGCGGCUUUCUGGACGACAACUGACGCUGAGGCGCGAGAGCGUGGGGAGCGAACAGGAUUAGAUACCCCGGUAGUC